UACAGAGGAUGCAAGCGUUAUCCGGAAUGAUUGGGCGUAAAGCGUCUGUAGGUGGCUUUUUAAGUCCGCCGUCAAAUCCCAGGGCUCAACUCUGGACAGGCGGUGGAAACUACCAAGCUGGAGUACGGUAGGGGCAGAGGGAAUUCCUGGUGUAGCGGUGGAAUGCGCAGAUAUCAGGAGGUACACCGAUGGCGAAGGCAGGUCUCUGGGCCAUUACUGACACUGAGAAGCGAAAGCAUGGGGAGCGAACAGG
rnacentral:rRNA from 1 species